GAAAGAAGCCACUUCAUGUGUAGAAGCAUGUCCUAGAAGACAACUGCUAAAGAGAAGGGAGCAGUAGAAGGAAAAAAAAAGGAGGAAAAAAAUCUUCAAAGCAAAUGAAAAGAAACAGACUUCUUCAAAACAAGAGAGGAAAUUGGAAAAAGAACAUUUGGGGAAGAAAAAAGCACGUGGAAUUUCUCUAAACAGAAGGAUGAGAACUAAUGCUCUAAUUUAGAGGACUCAAGUGCCAUUUUUGCCCAUUCUUCAUCAGAGAUUGCACUAUUGAAGAGUUUUAACUUUAGAAAUAAUCUUGAUGGGUGGACUCAAGAUGGCGCUGUGAGAACAACCCAGGAUUGGAGUUCUCGUUGUGUCUGCGGAGAGGUGAGUCUGAGCUGCAUUUCCAGACUGAUCUUUGUUGCUCACGGAACGGGGAAAUUCCCAAGUGAAGAGGAGACGCGGGACGCCAGGCAGAUAUUACGCCUGGCGAAGCCGGCAGCCGGGGUGGCGGCGGCCGGC
rnacentral:lncRNA from 13 species